UUCAAGAUGUGAUUUGACAUGGGGGCAGC
rnacentral:piRNA from 1 species